rnacentral:rRNA from 1 species
UACGUAGGUCCCGAGCGUUGUCCGGAUUUAUUGGGCGUAAAGCGAGCGCAGGUGAUUUAUUAAGUCUGGUGUAAAAGGCAGUGGCUCAACCAUUGUAUGCAUUGGAAACUGGUAGACUUGAGUGCAGGAGAGGAGAGUGGAAUUCCAUGUGUAGCGGUGAAAUGCGUAGAUAUAUGGAGGAACACCGGUGGCGAAAGCGGCUUACUGGACUGUAACUGACGUUGAGGCUCGAAAGCGUGGGGAGCGAACAGG